rnacentral:rRNA from 1 species
CAAGUCGUGGGGCAGCAGGGUUGUAGCAAUACAAUCGCUGGCGACCGGCAAACGGGUGCGUAACACGUACGCAACCUUCCCGUUACUGUGGCAUAGCCCAGGGAAACUUGGAUUAAUACCACAUAUUAUAUAGAAAGGGCAUCCUUUUUAUAUCAAAGCUUCGGCGGUAACGGAUGGGAGUGCGGUUGAUUAGGUAGUUGGCGGGGUAACGGCCCACCAAGCCUACGAUCAAUAGCUGAUGUGAGAGCAUGAUCAGCCACACGGGCACUGAGACACGGGCCCGACUCCUACGGGAGGCAGCAGUAAGGAAUAUUGGGCAAUGGACGAAAGUCUGACCCAGCCAUGCCGCGUGAAGGAUUAAGGUCCUCUGGAUUGUAAACUUCUUUUCUCUGGGGCGAAAAACAGCUAUUCUUAGUUGCUUGACAGUACCAGAGGAAUAAGCACCGGCUAACUCCGUGCCAGCAGCCGCGGUAAUACGGAGGGUGCAAGCGUUAUCCGGAUUCACUGGGUUUAAAGGGUGCGUAGGUGGGCCAGUAAGUCAGUGGUGAAAUCCCCGAGCUUAACUCGGGAACUGCCGUUGAUACUAUUGGUCUUGAAUAUCGUGGAGGUAAGCGGAAUAUGUCAUGUAGCGGUGAAAUGCUUAGAUAUGACAUAGAACACCGAUUGCGAAGGCAGCUUGCUACACGGUCAUUGACACUGAGGCACGAAAGCGUGGGGAUCAAACAGGAUUAGAUACCCUGGUAGUCCACGCCCUAAACUAUGGAUACUCGACAUCAGCGAUACACAGUUGGUGUCUGAGCGAAAGCAUUAAGUAUCCCACCUGGGAAGUACGAUCGCAAGAUUGAAACUCAAAGGAAUUGGCGG